rnacentral:rRNA from 1 species
GACGAACGCUGGCGGCGUGCUUAACACAUGCAAGUCGAACGGAAAGGCCCUGCUUUUGUGGGGUGCUCGAGUGGCGAACGGGUGAGUAACACGUGAGUAACCUGCCCUUGACUUUGGGUUAACUUCAGGAAACUGGGGCUAAUACCGGAUAGGAGCUCCUGCUGCAUGAUGGGGGUUGGAAAGUUUCGGCGGUUGGGGAUGGACUCGCGGCUUAUCAGCUUGUUGGUGGGGUAGUGGCUUACCAAGGCUUUGACGGGUAGCCGGCCUGAGAGGGUGACCGGCCACAUUGGGACUGAGAUACGGCCCAGACUCCUACGGGAGGCAGCAGUGGGGAAUAUUGCACAAUGGGCGGAAGCCUGAUGCAGCAACGCCGCGUGCGGGAUGACGGCCUUCGGGUUGUAAACCGCUUUCGCCUGUGACGAAGCGUGAGUGACGGUAAUGGGUAAAGAAGCACCGGCUAACUACGUG